UUCCAGACUCCUACGGGAGGCAGCAGUGGGGAAUAUUGCACAAUGGGGGAAACCCUGAUGCAGCGACGCCGCGUGAGUGAAGAAGUAUUUCGGUAUGUAAAGCUCUAUCAGCAGGGAAGAAAAAAGACGGUACCUGACUAAGAAGCCCCGGCUAACUACGUGCCAGCAGCCGCGGUAAUACGUAUGGUGCAAGCGUUAUCCGGAAUGACUGGGUGUAAGGGGAGCGUAGACGGUUGUACAAGUCUGAUGUGAAAGCCCACGGCUCAACUGUGGGAGUGCAUUGGAAACUGUAGAACUAGAGUAUCGGAGAGGCAAGUGGAAUUCCUAGUGUAGCGGUGAAAUGCGUAGAUAUUAGGAGGAACACCAGUGGCGAAGGCGGCUUGCUGGACGAAAACUGACGUUGAGGCUCGAAAGCGUGGGGAGCAAACAGGAUUAGAUACCCCCGUA
rnacentral:rRNA from 1 species